GGUGGCUCAGUGGCAGAGUGCUUGCCUUACACGCAAGAGGCCCUGGGUUCGAUCCCUCAGCACCA
rnacentral:tRNA from 1 species